CCGGCCGGGCUGGGGGCUCCUGGUGCUGCCCGUGGGGUGGGAUGCUGGAAUUGCCUCUCUGGGUGUGUGCUGAGCUCUGGCUGCAGGGGACUGUCAGGCCUUGGUGGCUAUCUUCUCUUACUGCCUUUGAAUUCACAGCCUCCUUGCAGCUCCCAGCUGGGGAACCUGGGAGAACUUAGGAGGGACAGAGGUGACAUUUUUAUCUGCAGAACUUGGGGUAAUUUCUAGGGGAUACAGCAACUGUUUGUGUAGGAAAGUGCAUUGAACCACAUGGGCCCAAGUUGUGUUUGCACCAGCUGGGGCCAGAGGUGCAAGGCAAUCCAAAGCAAACCCUGCUCAGCCUCUAAAUCCCAGGGGAAGUUCUCCAAGCUGCUCCCUGAGGGACUAAAGAUACAUUGAAAUGGAA